rnacentral:pre_miRNA from 1 species
UCCCUGAGACCCUAACUUUGGAUGUCAACUAUAAUUCACAGGCUAGUUGCUCAGGUACU